rnacentral:rRNA from 1 species
CUCAAAUUUGAAAUCUGGCCUCUUCGGGGUCCGAGUUGUAAUUUGUAGAGGGUGUUUCGGGCGCGAUGCCGGUCUAAGUUCCUUGGAACAGGACGUCGCAGAGGGUGAGAAUCCCGUACGCGACCGGCGAUCAAGCCCGUGUGAAGCCCCUUCGACGAGUCGAGUUGUUUGGGAAUGCAGCUCAAAAUGGGUGGUAAAUUUCAUCUAAAGCUAAAUAUUGGCCAGAGACCGAUAGCGGACAAGUAGAGUGAUCGAAAGAUGAAAAGCACUUUGGAAAGAGAGUCAAACAGUACGUGAAAUUGUUGAAAGGGAAGCGCUUGCAAUCAGACCGGUCCGGAGGCGAUCAGCCGCUGCUCGUUCAGCGGUGCACUCGCCUGCGAUCCGGCCAGCAUCGGUUUGGGCGGUGGGAUAAAAGUCCCGGGAAUGUAGCUUCUCUCGGGGAGUCUUAUAGCCCGGGUCGCAAUGCCGCCCGCCCGGACCGAGGACCGCGCUUCGGCUAGGAUGCUGG